rnacentral:sRNA from 1 species
GCAGUAGCCCCGCGGCGCUGUCGGACCCCCGACCUGGCAGCUCCGCGGGGUCUUCU